AGCCCCGUGGUGUAGUGGCCAAGCAUAGCAGGCUCUGGACCUGCUGACGUCGGUUCGAAUCCGGCCGGGGCUA
rnacentral:tRNA from 1 species